rnacentral:rRNA from 1 species
UACGAAGGGGGCUAGCGUUGCUCGGAAUCACUGGGCGUAAAGGGUGCGUAGGCGGGUCUUUAAGUCAGGGGUGAAAUCCUGGAGCUCAACUCCAGAACUGCCUUUGAUACUGAAGAUCUUGAGUUCGGGAGAGGUGUGUGGAACUCCGAGUGUAGAGGUGAAAUUCGUAGAUAUUCGGAAGAACACCAGUGGCGAAGGCGACACACUGGCUCACUACUGACGCUGAGGCGCGAAAGCGUGGGGAGCAAACAGG